UACGUAGGCAGCGAGCGUUGUUCGGAGUUACUGGGCGUAAAGGGUGUGUAGGCGGUUGUUUAAGUUUGGUGUGAAAUCUCCCGGCUCAACUGGGAGGGUGGUCGCGAGGCGGCAGGGCUUGAGGCUCGGUGAGGGGCGUGGAAUUCCGGGUGGAGCGGUGAAAUGCGUAGAGAUCCGGAGGAACACCGACGGCGUAGGCAGCGCCCUAGACGAGACCUGACGCUCAGGCACGAAAGCGCGGGAGCGAACAGG
rnacentral:rRNA from 1 species